rnacentral:lncRNA from 10 species
UUUAAAGGUUAUAAAUAUAUGAAUAUGUUGUUUCCAGAGUAGUUCAGUUAUUUGGGGGAAUAGAUGGGAGAAAAUGUGAUUAUAUUUACAUGAUUUCUUUUUUUUUCAGGUAACAGACUGGGUUGACCCAUCAUUUGAUGAUUUUCUAGAGUGUAGUGGCGUCUCUACUAUUACUGCCACAUCAUUAGGUGUGAAUAACUCAAGUCAUAGAAGAAAAAAUGGGCCUUCUACAUUAGAAAGCAGCAGAUUUCCAGCGAGAAAAAGAGGAAAUCUAUCUUCCUUAGAACAGAUUUAUGGUUUAGAAAAUUCAAAAGAAUAUCUGUCUGAAAAUGAACCAUGGGUGGAUAAAUAUAAACCAGAAACUCAGCAUGAACUUGCUGUGCAUAAAAAGAAAAUUGAAGAAGUCGAAACCUGGUUAAAAGCUCAAGUUUUAGAAAGGCAACCAAAACAGGUAACUAAGAAAUGUGUUUUUAAAUAUUUAACAUCAAAUAUUUUUCUGACUUACAGUGUGUUGUUAGAAGUUAAAGUUUUAUGAUGAUUUUGUUCAAAAUAAGUCUAGAUCUCCUGCAGUAGAAAGCUCCCUAGUGGGGCAUGGUGACUCAUGCCUGUAAUCCCAGCACUUUGGGAGGCCAAGGCAGGAGGAUCACUUGAGCCCAGGAGUUCGAGAGCAGCCUGGGCAACAUAGGGAGACUGUCUCUACAGCUAAUUAGCUGGGCAUUGUGGUGCAUGCCUCUGGUCUCAGCUACUUGGGAAGCUGAGGUGGGAGGAUCGCCUGAGCCCAGAAGGUGGAAGCUGCAGUGAGCUGUGAUCACACUAGUACACUCUAGCCUGGGCAACAGAGCAAUACCAAAAACCGUAAAAAGCAAAACAAAACAAAAAGCGAAAAAGAAAGCUUCAUGACUUUACUACUUCCAACUUGACUAAAAGACUCAGAGACUUUGAGUUUUCCCCUUUAUUUGUAACUCUUUUUCUUUAUGUCUUAUUGUUAGCAUAAAGAAUCAGUAAACCAAUUAGGGUGCUAGUGUAUUUAGCACAUCAGAUUAUCUCAGGCUGAGGAAAGCAGGCAAAUUACAUGUUAGUUUCUCUACUAAAUAUAGCCAAAAACAGUCAUUAUUUAUUUUAGACUGAUAUUUUUUGUUUCACUUCCUUACUGCACAAUUACCUUGAACCCCCAAGGUAGAAUAUUCUCUCCUUCCAUCAGUCUCCCUUUUUAAAUGUUUUUUAUUUUGAGAUUUUUCAAGCAUAAAAG